UACGUAGGGUCCGAGCGUUGUCCGGAAUUACUGGGCGUAAAGAGCUCGUAGGUGGUUUGUCGCGUUGUUCGUGAAAACUCACAGCUCAACUGUGGGCGUGCGGUCGAUACGGGCAUCACUGGAGUUCGGCAGGGGAGACUGGAAUUCCUGGUGUAGCGGUGAAAUGCGCAGAUAUCAGGAGGAACACCGGUGGCGAAGGCGGGUCUCUGGGCCGAUACUGACGCUGAGGAGCGAAAGCGUGGGGAGCGAACAGG
rnacentral:rRNA from 1 species